rnacentral:rRNA from 1 species
AUUGAACGCUGGCGGCAGGCCUAACACAUGCAAGUCGAGCGGGGUUUUCGGACCUAGCGGCGGACGGGUGAGUAAUGCGUAGGAAGCUACCCGAUAGAGGGGGAUACCAGUUGGAAACGACUGUUAAUACCGCAUAAUGUCUACGGACCAAAGUGUGGGACCUUCGGGCCACAUGCUGUCGGAUGCGCCUACGUGGGAUUAGGUAGUUGGUGGGGUAAUGGCUCACCAAGGCGACGAUCCCUAGCUGGUUUGAGAGGAUGAUCAGCCACACUGGAACUGAGACACGGUCCAGACUCCUACGGGAGGCAGCAGUGGGGAAUAUUGGACAAUGGGCGCAAGCCUGAUCCAGCCAUGCCGCGUGUGUGAAGAAGGCCUUCGGGUUGUAAAGCACUUUCAGUAGGGAGGAAGGGUGUUGUGUUAAUAGCACAGCAUUUUGACGUUACCUACAGAAGAAGCACCGGCUAACUCUGUGCCAGCCGCCGCCGUAAAAC